rnacentral:rRNA from 1 species
UACGGGGGGGGCAAGCGUUGUUCGGAAUUACUGGGCGUAAAGGGCUCGUAGGCGGCCAACUAAGUCAGACGUGAAAUCCCUCGGCUUAACCGGGGAACUGCGUCUGAUACUGGAUGGCUUGAGUUUGGGAGAGGGAUGCGGAAUUCCAGGUGUAGCGGUGAAAUGCGUAGAUAUCUGGAGGAGGGGUGGGGGGGAGGGCGCAUCCUGGACCGACACUGACGGUGAGUGAGCGAAAGCCAGGGGAGCAAACGGG